rnacentral:rRNA from 1 species
AACGUAGGAGACAAACGUUAUCCGGAGUUACUGGGCGUAAAGGGCGUGUAGGUGGUUGUGUAAGUUCGGCGUGAAAUCUCUCGGCUUAACCGGGAGUGGUCGUCGGAUACUGCACGACUAGAGGACGGUAGAGGCGUGUGGAAUUCCGGGUGUAGUGGUGAAAUGCGCAGAGAUCAGGAGGAACACCCGUAGCGAAGGCGGCACUCUGGGCCGAUACUGACACUGAGGAGCGAAAGCGUGGGGAGCGAACAGG